CCACAAAGCGUCCCGUAGUCCGCGCAUGCGCGUUCUUAACCCAGCGACCGAGGCUAUAAAAGGCCGCGGUUGAGGCCUAGUCGGUCUUUCGGCGUCAGGCGGAGCUGAGAGAAGGAGGUCCUCGUGCUAUAUUUGUGGGCUUAAGGAAUGGGCCGGGAUAUAUCUCAACCUUCCAGACCAAAGAUGGCUCCCCCCUUGACCCUUGGAAAAAGAGACUAUCCUACAAUACAGGAAAAGAUGUAGCGUGUUGAAUAAGCUUGGAAGCACAGAGGCUAUUGCAAACUGCAGACAGGAGGAGUUGGCUGCAGACUUUUUUAAAGCAAAUUUUAAAAUGUGUCCCGUCGGAAGGUAAGAAUAAAAACGUAAGAAUGUGGGACCCUUGAAACUAAUCCCUUGACAAAGCUGACACUUUGGUGGUGUCGGGUCAAUAGAGGAAACUUGAAACGCCGUGUCAGUUUUCCCAUUUUUAAAAAAGUUAGCGUUCCCUUCCUGCUCGUCUUAGAUUCCCUUGCCGAUGUCCUUGUCCCGGCUUAUCUGUGCCCUUUCUCUGGGCAUUCUUUCCAUCAGGAGAUCCACCGAAAGACUAUACCACUAUACGUGUGUCUUGUGUUAAUGCUUUAAAUCGAAUGGCCUUGAACUACUUGUUUGGGAAGGUCGUAUAUUUUUUUAAAAAAUAUUAAAAUUAGCCAAUCUGACUUUGCGGAGUUUGGGAUGUUUUGCUGCCCCGUUGAGACGUAACUAUGACUCUGGUGUCGUCGUUAUGCCAGAAGGAGGCGGACAGCAAAUUUCAGAGGCUGCUUUAGCAGGUCUUCAUCCUCAAGACAAAUGGGUGGAAGAAUGUGCCAGCAGCCAACAGUUUGUGGCUUUUCGGGAACCCAAAUGGGACAGCAAACGCAUUUCGUGACAUUAAUGGGAUCAGUUUCCAAUACCUUUUGUGUUUACAUUCCUCCCGCGAGUCUUGUCUGUAUACUUUCUGCACACACAAGUUGAGCUGAAUAAAUGUGUUUGAAAAAAUAAAUACGAAUGCCAUGGAUGACCUUUGGAGUAAACACGCACACCUCUUGUCAGUUCAAAGCCACAUGAGCCUUUUGAAGAGGCGUUCCAGCCGCAUGUCGGAAUAAUGAUAAUACACUAUUAUAAUUGUAUAUUUAUUUUACAUGUGAUAUUACUAAUACUGCAAUACAUUCGUAUAGUACAAUCUAUAUAUAUAAAAGAGUGAUGGAAUCCUGGCGACCGCCAAAACAACAAAACUAAACACCCCACAACCUCGAAAAUGGACAACACAACCCAUCAUCCACGCCUCUAGGUUGAUACAACAAAAAGAAAAUAAAAAUAAAAUCCUAAUUAGAGGAAGAGGAAUAAUUGUUUUUAUCCAAUUGCUGCCAGUUAGAAGGCUAAGCUCCGCCCACUUGGUCUCCUAGCAACCCAUGCAGCCCAGGGGACAGGCAGAGUUAGGCCUCUUCCACACUGCCUAUAAAAUACAGAUUAUCAGAUUUUAACUGGAUUAGAUGGGAGUGUAGACUCAAGGCCCUUCCACACAAAUAUAUAACCCAUAUAAUUUUAUAUUAUCUGCUUUAACUGGAUUAUCCGGACUCCACACCUUUACCUUAACUACCACCAAUUCCUCAAUACUUUAUUUCCCAUACAUACUUCGCCACAGCAACGCGUGACUGGGCACAGCUAGUAUAAUAUAUAACGCUUAUAUAUGCUUACAUUGUGCUAUACUAAUAAUAUAUUAUAUGUAUAUAUAACUUGUAAGCUGCCCUGAAUCCCCUUUGGAGUGAGAAGGGUGGGAUAUAAAUGUCGCUAAUAAAUAAAUAAUGCCAUAAUCCACCUCUGUGCAUCAAAGAGUCCAUAGAAGCACUUGUUGUGAUCUCUGUUUUAUGUGGUACUAGCUUGGGUGCCUGGCAGUGCCCAGAUUAUUUGAAAAAGUCAAUGUUUUAAUUGUACAAAAUGCAUAAGGUUGUGGAUUAACUUUGUCUUGGGUUGCUGGCUCUGGAUGAUGGGCAUUAAUAAUGAUGAUGGUACUAAUAAUAAUUUAAUAAUAUGUAAUAAUAAUUUAUAUUAAUUUUAUUUUUAUAAUAGUAAUAAUAUUUUAAUAAUAAUAAAUAACACUUGGGAAGUG